CAAAUUCCUUUUCCUCUUGGAAAUAGAAUGUUCUUUGACUGUGAUUUUCUUUCUUUCUCAUCAGCCUUGAGUGAUGAAAGACAGAUACCAACAAAUGAAAUUAGACUCUCUCUGACUAUCCUCAGAUCAGAAACUCUAGAGACAUGCAGCAGUUUGGGAGGACCAAGUCGGAGCCAGACAUGGAGAGAGAAGAGAGAGUGAAAGGUAUCUGAGAUGGUGACAUGUCCCAGCAGGCUCUGAUUCAGCUAACUUGCUGUGAAUGAAAGACAAUGAAGAAGCAGAGAGCCAAGUUGUUACCAUAUGACCCUCAGAUAGGGCAUUUUUCUCUGUCUCUGAAAUAGAAAUAAUAUCUGGUGUGUUGGUAUCAGAGAAUUCUAGUAAGAAAGAAAUGCAUUAUAAUUUGUGUAUGUGCUGGGGAAAUGCUUUAAAAAGCCAACCGACCAACCAUGCUCUACAGCUAAAACAAUGUAAGUAUAGAUAACUGAAAUGUGCAAAUAAACUCAGGAGGUAAAGGGAAGAAUAUAAAAACUGAGGUUGUUUUCACCUGGUUAGAGAUAUAGAUAGAGCAAUAGCUAUAGAUGAUAUAGAUUAGAUUUAGUUAUAGAUAGAUUGAUAUAGACAUAUUCCACCUCACCAAAGUGUUGGAGAUGCCACGUGGCAUGGCCAAACCUGACAAGUGUACAGGCUCUAAAGCCAGACUUCGGAAUUCAAACCCUUCCUCUGCUGUGAGGCAUUGAACAAGUUAUUGUUUCUUAGAUCAUUAUCUGUGAAAAUGUGAUUGUACUGGGAGGAGUCAAUAAAUAAUUUCAGGUAAAGCGUUUGGAACAGUGCCUAGGCAUACUAAGGACUCAAUUGACAUUAGAUAUUCUCUUUUCCUCAAGUAAGUCUCAUGUAUUCUUGCCUCAAUUUUUUUUAUUAUACUCCCUUCCGUUUGAAAACUUCCUCUGCCCUGUGUAUUUGAAAUGGAUGCUUUAUUCGUUUCCAUUAGGUUUAGCAGGUUUCCCCUGACCUAUCAAACUUAUAGUGGUUGUCUCUCCUCUAUGAACUCUUAAGGAUAUUCACUGAUGAUUCCCUAGAGGGACCGUAAUUACAUAAUACUUUGGGGAAUGAUUUUAUUGUUGUUUAUUAUUUUCUAGGAAGUAGCAUCAACAGCAGAACUAACUUAAACCUAAGAAUCAACUGACAAGAGAUUGAGCUGAUUAUUCAUCACCCUCAGGAACCUCAUUUAACCUUUCUGAGCUUCAUUGUAUUAACUUGUAAGUGAAGAUAAUGAUAAUAUGUCCUACUUUACAAUUUUGAGGCUCUAUGGAG
ensembl:lincRNA